rnacentral:rRNA from 1 species
GACGAACGCUGGCGGCGUGCUUAACACAUGCAAGUCGAACGAAGAGCGACGGAAGCUUGCUUCUAUCAAUCUUAGUGGCGAACGGGUGAGUAACGCGUAAUCAACCUGCCCUUCAGAGGGGGACAACAGUUGGAAACGACUGCUAAUACCGCAUACGAUCUAAUCUCGGCAUCGAGGAUAGAUGAAAGGUGGCCUCUACAUGUAAGCUAUCACUGAAGGAGGGGAUUGCGUCUGAUUAGCUAGUUGGAGGGGUAACGGCCCACCAAGGCGAUGAUCAGUAGCCGGUUGAGAGGAUGAACGGCCACAUUGGGACUGAGACACGGCCCAGACUCCUACGGGAGGCAGCAGUGGGGAAUCUUCCGCAAUGGACGAAAGUCUGACGGAGCAACGCCGCGUGAGUGAUGACGGCCUUCGGGUUGUAAAGCUCUGUUAAUUCGGGACGAA